GACGGAGGAUGCAAGCGUUAUCCGGAAUGAUUGGGCGUAAAGCGUCCGCAGGUGGCAGUUCAAGUCUGCUGUCAAAGACCGGGGCUUAACUUCGGAAAGGCAGUGGAAACUGAACAGCUAGAGUAUGGUAGGGGCAGAGGGAAUUCCUGGUGUAGCGGUGAAAUGCGUAGAGAUCAGGAAGAACAUCGGUGGCGAAGGCGCUCUGCUGGACCAUAACUGACACUCAGGGACGAAAGCAUGGGGAGCGAACGGG
rnacentral:rRNA from 1 species